AUGGCGCAGCUGCCGCCGAGAGCGCCGAGCGCGGGGGGGCAGGACUGGCCGGUGGCAGGCGAGUUCCUCGGGUUCGCGGCGGCCCGGCGGGGCGUGCACCGGCGCUCGGCCAGCGAUCCGGCGGCUUUCCUGGAGGCCGUGCCAAUGGACCACAUCCUCAGCGGCGGCGGCGGCGACGACGAGUUCGACAGGCUCGACGACGAGCAGCUCAUGUCCAUGUUCUCCAAUGUCGACGGCGGGUGCGACAGGCCGGGCUUCAUGGACACGGGAGAGGCGGAGGAGGGGACGCCCAGCGCGGGCGCAAUGGCCGCCGCGGACGGCUUCGGUGACCCCAAGAGGGUUAAAAGGAUAUUGGCCAACAGGCAGUCAGCGCAGAGGUCAAGAGUUCGGAAGUUGCAGUACAUCUCAGAGCUUGAACGCAGCGUCACCGGACUCCAGAUGGAGGUGUCAGCACUCUCUCCCCGCGUGGCCUUUCUAGAUCAUCAGCGGUCAUUACUGACCGUGGGCAACAGCCAUCUCAGGCAAAGAAUUGCCGCCCUUGCACAAGACAAGAUCUUCAAAGAUGCUCAUCAAGAGGCACUCAAAGAGGAGAUUGAGCGACUACGGCAGUUGUUCCACCACCAGAAGAUCAAGGCCACAGGCGGCACAGACAUGGCCACGGCCGCCUCAAUGCAAGCCAAGCAAGAGCUCCUUAUGUGUGAGGGAGCCGCGAUGCGAUAA
rnacentral:rRNA from 1 species